rnacentral:lncRNA from 1 species
UUCUUCUACACUUCUAAUCUAUAAAGAUUUUGUUUGUUUAUUUUGAUUUUAAUCAAACUCGUAAACUCUUAAUUCACCAUGUCUGAUUCUUCUUCACCUCCAAUGCUUAUAUAUAAUAAUUGUUUUUCAAUUGAUAACUUGAAUUCUUCUAAGCUUGGAGGAUGUUACCAACAAUAACAACAGGUCUAUCACCAAGAGGACACCUUUUUCACCUAGGUAUACAACUUAAAUUUUAUUUUUUUGUUAUUUCAACAUAUAUAUAUAUAAUAUAUAUAUCGUCAAAAUCAAAUCACUCUCUCUCCAAUAUUACAAUUUGUAUUGCUCUCUUUGUUUUUAUAUUCAACUAUCUCUAAAAUUUUCACUCUCUAAUAUAUUUCAUGGAUUCUAGCGCUGAGAAGAAAUCAAAGGGUUGGAAAGAAUCUUUCGAAAAAGGAUGGGAUAGAUGAGAAGAAAAGAAGGCC